UUUCGCAAUGCCCGAAAGGGUGACGAAGCGACGCCGCGUGAGUGAGGAAGGCCUUCGGGUUGUAAAGCUCUGUCAGGAGUUAAGAAAUAUAAGUGUGCUAAUACCACAUUUAUUUGACAAAAGCUCCAAAGGAAGCCACGGCUAACUCUGUGCCAGCAGCCGCGGUAAUACAGAGGUGGCAAGCGUUGUUCGGAAUUAUUGGGCGUAAAGAGCACGUAGGUGGGUUUGUAAGUCAGAUGUGAAAGCCUUCUGUUCAACGGAAGAAUUGCAUCUGAAACUGCGAGUCUUGAGUGUAGGAGGGGAGAAUGGAACUUCUGGUGGAGCGGUGAAAUGCGUAGAUAUCAGAAGGAACGCCGGCGGCGAAAGCGAUUCUCCGGCCUAUUACUGACACUCAGUGUGCGAAAGCUAGGGGAGCAAACGGGAUUAGAUACCCCGGUAGUCCUAGCUGUAAACGAUGGGCACUAAGUAGAGGGGUUUUA
rnacentral:rRNA from 1 species